AAACGAGGCUGUGGGGUACGGAAGUAACGUUGGCUCGCCCAUCGGUAGACUUCUGUCAUAACGUUACCUACAAUGCCGCCGCAUUGUUGGUUUCCCAAAUGUACGUCUUCAAAGAGAAAGAAAUCCUAUACAGGUCAAACCUUCCAUCGUUCCCCCAAAGAUCCUGUACUUGGCCGUGAAUGGAUUCAUAAAAUAAGAAGAGAUCCCGGUCGCCAUUUCAAGAUCUGACUAUGACCUGGAGUACGACAGCUAUCCAGAUGACCUCUACAACAGGUGUGUUGCCCAGUUCUACCUACAAUCACAGAUUUGCAUCAUGAGGUAUUCUUGCCCUUCGCUAUUAUGGCCAAGUAAUGAUGAAACUAUUUUAUGAUAAACUGUUCUAGUUCAGAACUAGGUUAUCUCGACUUAUGCAGUUAUUUCUCUCUUAGGAAGGUUAUUCAUUCUGUCACCUCUGUGUUCUGAGGUACUGCUGUGACCAGCCUCCAGUCACACCUCAUGAGGUCACAUCCAGUGUAGGUCUGCUAUCUGAUUGGAAGUCAACUUUAGAGUGAUACCGUUGGUCAACCACUCAGGUCUAUAGGAUUUUGGGAUCGUAGCAUCGGCUCGGCCCUGCACUUCUCUCUAAAAACUGAUUUGUAUGAAUCUACCAAAACCUUCUGGGCAAACGUAAUGUUUCAUUAAUGUCGGUAUCAUCUUUUAAUUUCAUCCAUAAAACCUUGAUUAAUGUGAUGAGAUUCUUGACGUCUCUCAAUGAUUCAUGUUGCUUGUUUGUAUCACCCCUACCCAAUGUUUAAAUCAUGAGUUCGAUCAUGUUUGACAGACCUUGUUUAAACAAGGUUAUUAUUUGCAUAGUCUUAUAAAGAGUAUAUAAGAGUAACACACACUGCAAAUAUUUCUCCACUACAGUCUUGUGCUUCAAACCCCUUUUGUUUGUGAACACAAUUCUCCAGUACGCCAUGUCUCCUCUUUGACUGCUUGAGUUACAUGGAGUAGUAUAAGAGGGGUGUAUGCCUACGUGUGAUAGGCCUCUUGAAUGUGAUACCAGAGAAUAGACUGUACCGUUAACUCAUCUUAAAUCCCCUUGUCUGGUACAAACCAAACGGCUAAACAGCACAAAAGACACUUUCUUCGCUCCAGCAACUGCGUCUAUACUCUUCCCAAGUGGUAAUAGCGAGACUGGGGACAAGGGCCUUGGGAAAUGUUGAAGUGUUCUGAGUGCUGUCUCAAAGUGAACCCCUGCUUAGUUCUAAGGCUCCACUUGAAUAACGCAAUUAGCCAGGCUUUGAUUGGCUGAGAAAGGGAGGGGCCCAAUGUGACUGGUGCUGAUGAAGAGGGCUGCAGAGAGGAGCGAUAAGACUGCAGCAGAGCCUGCCAGGGCAGGGGGAGGGUGUUCCAGCAGUGAACUGAGAAGAGACAACAGCCUGAGAAAAGGGUCUUCAUCUUCUACCGUGAGGUCCAAGAACUGCUGAUGCCCCGGAUGAAGAGGCCAGCAUACACAGUGAGGUCCAAAAGUAUUUAGACUGUGACAAAUGAGUUGCUGUUUUGGCGCUGCACACACUCAGAAAUAGAAGUACUGGUGUGUACUUAAAAGGGUACAAAUGCUGGUCGCUGAGGGUGUACCCUUUAGUGUCAGUCCAUUUUUGUACCGUAUCAAAUUGUACCAGCAAAUGACCUACACACGUUUUCAGUGCUGCAGGGUCCAGUGCAGCCCCUCCCCUCGGGGGUGAAAUGGGACACAUUUGUUUUUUCUUUUGUUUAAUUCACUCUGUACCAUUUCUGUUAGUCAAAAGGCACUCUUCUGUCCCCAUAAAGACCAAAAUUGUACCUUUGGUGGAACAUUCUUUAAAAGUGUACCUAUAAGUACAGAACUGUUCUUGUUUCGUACCUCCAUUUUUGAGUGUGUACUCCAGCAUUUUAGGUUUUUAUGAUAAAAUGUUCAUCCGUAUGGAGUGAAUUGUAUCAAAAUUACAGUAAUUUUUCUGCUUAGUCCCCCAAUUCUAGGAAACAAAAUGUUUUUUGAACACAUUCCCAAAUGUGUUUUGGAAAGCAGUCAAAAAUUGUGUAUUUGGUCCUACUUUCAUAGUUUGCAAUGACUGCAUCAGACUUGGAAUUCUAAAAAUCUGUUGGAUACUGGCAGUUCGUGUUGAUUGUGUUCAGGUUAUGUUUUGCUCAAUUAAAACGAAUGGUAAAUAAUGGAUUGUGUCAUUUGACUUCAGAAUGUUACCUAAAGUUACUUCAUUGCCACUUUUAAAUGGCCCUUAAUGUGUCCUUGCUUAUUCACAGCUCUUGUAGCGUGGUCUCAUUGACAGGGCUUUCCCUGUGGAAUACUGAAGGUGAACGAACUCUUAUUUCUAUACACUGAAAACUCAGCAAGUUCACAUAUAGGGGAUGUGACCUAAAGGAAACACUGGUGUCCUCACUGGUGUUGAAAAAGGGAACGUUUCUAUGGGUAUAGGCGACAAUAAGGCACUUUUGGUAAUGUGUGUGUGUAUGUGGUUGUAGAAACAUUUUCUGCUUCUAAUUCUGAGCCCAUAAACCUAAAACAACCCAUUUGUUCAUGUUUUACUCAACCAUCGGUGCAGUAAAUAGGAGCUGCCUGUUCUCUUAACCAGAAUAUCAGACUCAGCUAACAGACGAUAUUAUGAUGCAGUGCUUCCCCAUGGGCUGCAUCUAGCCGGGCGGCAGAGUUUCUACUGACCCUCACUGUAUCCACAUGACCUGACAUGCCCCCCGGUUGUCUGCCGCUGGUGCUGAUUUCACAGAUGGGUGAACACGGUCUCUCUGCACGGCUGACUGGACACCUGGCUGCCCGCCCUGCUGGUCCGGAGUAAAAGCACGGCUCAGCUUGGAGCACCGUGAGAGUGUUUGACUACCAGCGUGUCCCGGCCUCCAUGAUGCCAGCAGAGCCCAGCCCUCUGAAACGCUCGCGAGGCCCGUCUUCCGGCCUGCACCGCUCCAGAGACAGAGCACAGGGCAAGAGGAGCACGCAGCACACCGGUUCCACCAACACCAGGGUCAAGUUGAAGAUGGCAGAGCUGCUGGCCAUAAAGACGGAGUUGACUCUGAUCAAGGUGCAGAUUGAUGGUCUGCUGGACAGUGUUGACAAGAUGGACAGACAGAGGAAGGACCAAUCAGAUUCACCUCUGACCCGGGAGGGUAGUGUGUCGGACUCGGUGAGCAGUCUGGACGACUCCCCCACCAGCCUCCCCCAAAGACAGAGAGAGAGCCCGGAGCCGGGAGAGGCCAGCGAGGAUGAUCACCACCACCAGAACCCCCACCGGAUGAAUUACUCUGAUCUGGAGGAUGACAUGUGAGCCGAUCAGUGACUCAGUCGACUCGGUGACGACAGCAGCACCGACAGAUGCCGGCAUACUCCAGAGAGCAGGAAGAGAUCAUCUCUGAUGACAGUCUACAUGGACAGCACCCUCAAACAUACAAAGUCACAAAGUUUGAUCUUCAGUGAAUCUUUUCAUUUGAUUUAUAGGAAAUACCUCUCUGGUUUUCUUUCAUAUCUUCAUCACUCCUUUGCAACGAGUUCCUACCGACUAAUGGACAAAAAAUGGCAGCUUAAAAAAAUAAUAAAAAAUGUUGUUGCUUAAGGAAAGGGACUGACUGAUGCACAUUAGAUUAUUCAUAAGGUUUAUGUAUAACCUCAUCUACUAUUUCCAUAGGUGUCUAAAAACUGUCCAUAUCCACGUAAAUAAAGACAGUCAGUGUGACGACAGCUGUGUUAUCACUUGGCUCAUAAACACCAGGCUGACUGGCUUUAUUUGAAGCCAGAUGCUUGGAACUAUUAGCACAGCAGUUUACAUGGUUUUAUGUUGACUUGACUGACUGAAAAACUCAGUUGUAAAUCUAGAGGAGAGUACUGCUGUUGUUUGUGACCAGUGUGAGAAGUGAUACGUAUAUGCUGACUAGUGGCUACUUAGAGAACAAACCGCCAUGUUUUGUUAUUGUCAAUGACUUGAGGAGGAAUUCUUCUGAUUGCGUUAUCCUGGGGACCAUUUGGGCUGUCAAAAUGAUUUUUUUUCAUGUCACAACUAAAAACUGUUAUUCAUUGUAGAUUAUUCAUUUACCAUCAUUCAGACAUAAUGUUUACUACAGUAUAUUUAAAACCACAUUGUUUGAAAACAACUGUUUAAAGGGUACAUUUUAAUGAUCAAGAAAACAAAUCCAGACUGUAUUUACUCUGAAAAAAAAUCUGUGUUAGAUUCCCUUUGUUUUUAUUUUUCAUAAUUAUCUGUUUCAUGAAGUCUGGAGGUUUUUGUUUAUAACGUACUCAAUGUAAAGUACAUUGUGACAGUAGUAAAG
ensembl:lncRNA